GACGAACCGUGCAAACGUUGUUCGGAAUCACUGGGCAUAAAGGGCGCGUAGGCGGCUGGAUGCGUCCGGGGUGAAAGCCUCCCGCUUAACGGGAGGAAGCGCCUUGGAUACCGUCCGGCUGGAGGGAGCGAGGGGCAGGCGGAACUUCCGGUGGAGCGGUGAAAUGCGUUGAGAUCGGAAGGAACGCCCGUGGCGAAAGCGAGGUCCUGGACGUCUGCUGACGCUGAGACGCGAAAGCCAGGGGAG
rnacentral:rRNA from 1 species